UGGGGAAUAUUGCACAAUGGGCGCAAGCCUGAUGCAGCCAUGCCGCGUGUAUGAAGAAGGCCUUCGGGUUGUAAAGUACUUUCAGUCGGGAGGAAGGUGGUAAGGUUAAUAACCUUGGCAAUUGACGUUACCGACAGAAGAAGCACCGGCUAACUCCGUGCCAGCAGCCGCGGUAAUACGGAGGGUGCAAGCGUUAAUCGGAAUUACUGGGCGUAAAGCGCACGCAGGCGGUUGAUUGAGUCAGAUGUGAAAUCCCCGGGCUUAACCCGGGAAUUGCAUCUGAAACUGGUCAGCUAGAGUCUUGUAGAGGGGGGUAGAAUUCCAUGUGUAGCGGUGAAAUGCGUAGAGAUGUGGAGGAAUACCGGUGGCGAAGGCGGCCCCCUGGACAAAGACUGACGCUCAGGUGCGAAAGCGUGGGGAGCAAACAGG
rnacentral:rRNA from 1 species